GACGAACGCUGGCGGCGUGCUUAACACAUGCAAGUCGAACGGUAAGGCCCUUCGGGGUACACGAGUGGCGAACGGGUGAGUAACACGUGGGUGAUCUGCCCUGCACUUCGGGAUAAGCCUGGGAAACUGGGUCUAAUACCGGAUAGGACCACUGCCUGCAUGGGUGGUGGUGGAAAGCUUUUGCGGUGUGGGAUGGGCCCGCGGCCUAUCAGCUUGUUGGUGGGGUGAUGGCCUACCAAGGCGACGACGGGUAGCCGGCCUGAGAGGGUGACCGGCCACACGGGGACUGGGGUACAGACCAGACUCCUACGGGAGGCAGGAGUGGGGAAUAUUGCACAAUGGGCGCAAGCCUGAUGCAGCGACGCCGCGUGAGGGAUGACGGCCUUCGGGUUGUAAACCUCUUUCAGCACCGACGAAGCGCAAGUGACGGUAGGUGCAGAAGAAGGACCGGCCAACUACGUGCCAGCAGCCGCGGUAA
rnacentral:rRNA from 1 species